CUACGGGGUGCAGCAGUGAGGAAUAUUGCACAAUGGAGGAAACUCUGAUGCAGCAACGCCGCGUGGAGGAUGACGCAUUUCGGUGUGUAAACUCCUUUUAUAUGUCAAGAAAAUGACGGUAGCAUAUGAAUAAGCACCGGCUAACUCCGUGCCAGCAGCCGCGGUAAUACGGAGGGUGCAAGCGUUACUCGGAAUCACUGGGCGUAAAGGACGCGUAGGCGGGAUAUCAAGUCAGGUGUGAAAUCCUACAGCUUAACUGUAGAACUGCACUUGAAACUGGUAACCUAGAGUAUGGGAGGGGGAGAUGGAAUUAGUGGUGUAGGGGUAAAAUCCGUAGAUAUCACUAGGAAUACCUAAAGCGAAGGCGAUCUCCUGGAACAUAACUGACGCUAAGGCGUGAAAGCGUGGGGAGCAAACAGGAUUAGAUACCCGUGUAGUC
rnacentral:rRNA from 1 species